UCCAGGAGGAACACGCUGGUUUUGGUC
rnacentral:sRNA from 1 species